ACAAACUUCUUUUUUGCUCCCUGACAGCUUCUCUUUUAUUUUUCUCUAUGGAGUUGUGUGUUCUAGAGUCUGAAGCUCAAUUCGGAAGCUUGGUUUCUCUAGCUGAACAGGACUGCACAGAAGCCUUAUGUGCUACUCUGAGAUUCUGAUAACCCCAUGGCGGGUAGGACGGAUCCUUGAACAAUCAGAAACAGUCGUCUAAAAUGGAAGGCGCUAUUGGAAUCCGAAGCUUCACAGCUCUUCAUCUCUACUGCUACUUGUCAAUGUCAGCUUUUCUGCUCAGAUGAGAAGAUGUCCUGGGACUCAGACACCCAGGAACCACACAGCUCUGAGGCGGGACAGUGUCCCAAGGAAAGGCAUCCUGAAAUAUGGAGCCCAGGAACCACAGAGGGCCCCGAGAGCCAAAUUUCCUUGAAUCCAGGACAGACACCUACUGACAACUCUUACCUUCUCCCUCCAUUCAUGGAUCUAGAGCACUGUGGCUGCUCUUAACUUACCUGGGUUAUUCUGACCGCUCAAGAAGAGUGUGUGUGAUGCUCAAUCCAGAUCAGUGGAGAAACACAGCACGCAAGCGUAACCACUGGAAGUUCAGCAAAGGAGGGAAGAGCUGGCAACGAAAAUGUGCCCCUCAGGAAGAACAAGUGGGAAAAUGUAUAAGGAACGGUUUUCUCUGAGCUGAUGGUAAAAUAGCAUACUUGACUGAAUUUAUUACUGUCUACCACUAUGUGAUUUCUUAUGUACUGGAAAUGUUUAGACCAAUAAUAGAGACCCAAAUAAUGAUUGAAUAUUGUGUGCUUCAUACGUAUCUAUUUGUCUUGCCUUGUUUCAGCUCAAUCAAUAAUCAUGUUAUUGUAGGUAAGAUUUUAUGCUAUAUUUUAUAUAAUAUAUAAUUAAUAAUAGUAAAAAAGACUGAAAAUACAUUGCCAAACUAUUGAUUCCUACAUCUAUUAUUUGUUUUACUUAUGUUUAAAAUAUGCAGGGUUCUCUAAAACAAACAAAUAAAAUAUAAUAUGGGCAGUUAAAUUUUAAUUAUUGACAUUUAGUAUAACUAUAUUCUAUGUGAUAUUCAGUGUAAUAUUUUAAUAUAAGUAUGUCCCAUUUAUUGUACUAAAAAUUGUUCUUUUUUUACCCAAAAUUCAAAUUAAGUGAGCACUCAGCAUUUUUGUUAGAUACUGAUUUCUUUAUCAGAAGAUUAAUUUGGAAGGGUAUUAAAUAGAAUCCAAGAAAAAGAAAAGCUGAUCCCUGAACUCCAGAGUUUUUGGCAGGACUCUUGGGAGUGGGACGCUGAACAUCCCUUCCAUCCUGUGUGACCCGUCAGCUGAAUCUAGCGUUGUGGCUUUCUUACCACAAACGCCUUUGCUCUCACACAGCCUUAGAGUAUCAUCAGUUCAUUCUCUGAUUUAGUUUGAAUAAUUACCAACUCUUCCUUGUAUUUAGUUAUUCAUUCAUAAAUUGCUAGGACAACCCCCUUAGUGUCCCUGGCACAUCACAUUUGAUAGUUCCAACAUCGUCGUAGAGUGGAUGCCACCUUUACAGGACAGAAGGGAAGCUCAUGGAGGUUAGUAAUCGACCUGAGACCACAUGCUUGGUUAGUGAUAGGUGCAGGAUUCGCAUCUCUGAUGUUCUGAAGUCUAAGCUCUGGUGGAAAUGCAGGCUGUGGUGUGGGGGGAAGGGGAGCACCCCCCUUUAGAGCCUAAGGUAUUCUAAGGCCAAUUUUACAUACUUGAGACCGUUGAAGACCCUUUUUGUUCAAACUGACUCUCAGAAUUUAAAAAAUAAUGACAUUGUUUCCCUGAGAUAAAAGCUGUGUAACAGUUUCAAAGCUUUAUAACAAUCAAAUACAUGUGGUUUUGGCAAACGA